rnacentral:lncRNA from 1 species
CUGAUGAGGCAAGUGAGGAUGGUUAUAGCAUUGUAUUGGUUAACACCGAACUCGCUUCCAUAGGUGAGCUAUGGCAAGAGCAGACAGUGUUUUCCAAAAUGAGGGAGAAGAAGAUGAGAACAGAAAGUUAUGGAUAGAAAUGAGAUAUCCAUGAAGGGACUAUUUGGUGCCAACGUGCUUACCGUAUUCAAAUCUAUCAUACAUGUCAGCACAAACCUGGCCAGUGUUACUGGGAAGUGAUGUCAGCAGGUCCAUUAACCCAGAAAGGCGAUUUUAUGAAGCUCUUCACUGGGCCUGAAGCCCAGGAGCAUGGAUGCAGAUGAGUGAAAUGGUGGCAAGAUGGACAGAAUAAAGCCUAGCAUACAAAAAACA